GUUUGUGAUGAAAGGGAAAACCCGGACCAGUGAAGAAGUGGAGCGACACUGAGG
rnacentral:snoRNA from 1 species